rnacentral:miRNA from 1 species
UAAUUCCACCAAUAACUUCAGC